CGUAUUUCAAUUUUCUCACUAGCCAAAAUUUUCUAUUUUAGGUUCUUUUACUCAAUGAAGACGACCUGGACGUAGUUGCCAGUCUGGAUUUGCUUGAGUUCUCCGGGGAAGAUUGUGAACAGAGAGGAGCUACACUUGUAUAUGCAACUGAUAUAUUUGAUGGGUCGGAAACAUGGGCAACGUAUCUGGCUUGCAUCCUGGAUGGUGAACUGAUCGAGGAGGUCUGAGAAGUUAAUGGAGGUUCAUGAGUUGAAAAGUUCUGACAAAUGUCGAUCUGCUUUAUGUUGUUGAGUCCUGGCUUCAGUUUGAAACCAAGCGUGAGAAAAAGAAACCCACCAACCCUCCU
rnacentral:misc_RNA from 1 species